ncrna:Streptococcus thermophilus CNRZ1066 MarS sRNA
AUGCGAUGAGUCGAUUGGCUCUUUAGAGCCUUUUGCGCUGAGGAGGUCAACAUUAAAUUGUAACGCAGGAGCGGACCUUGAGUAGUUGUGUGAACCUGCUACUCUCAUCGAAAGAUGCCUCUUAUCCCUUGCCGUUUGGUAGGGGAUUUUU